rnacentral:sRNA from 1 species
UAUGCGCGCAUGUGAGUGACCGGCAUAA